CAAUAGCCUGCCUCAAGGAGUAUGAAAUACGGACACAGGCAUUUCGAAACUCUGGACAGCAUGAACUAUUUCUGGCCGUCAAUUCACCACACCAGCCAGUAUCUUCAAUAACGAUAGCCCGAUGGGUGAAGUGGAUAAUGACCUCUGCAAACAUAGAUACCUCAGUAUACGGAGCGCACUCCACUAGAGGAGCUAUGGCAUCUAAACUAUUCAAC